CUGGUUCUGAAGCCACUUCAGUCACCUGUGAGGACUCCAACUCAUGUGUACCAUUUUCUGCUUCAUUUUCCACAUUAUUGGAACUACUUAAGCGCCCUUCUUCUGUUGGAUAUGCCUCAGAAGACUGAUUUUGUCCAGUUGGAAUUUCUUCUAGAGGGACCUCUGCAUGUUGGUUGUGCUUCGCAUUUAUAGAAUCUGGGGUACCUGGCUCCCUAACACCACUUUCCAUGAUUUUCUCUGAAGAUGAGCUGCAAGAUGGUUCUCUGUAAUCUACUACCUCUCUCUCCACUUCUUGUGCAACUUGCCGAGCAACUUCUAGAGCAUCAACCAUCCCAUAUUCAAGCUCAGCAUCAGAUCUCCUCCUGUCAAUUGGAUCAGGACUCUGGAUAUCCAUCUCUGGUUUAGAGAAAUCAGAAUCAUCUCUUAAAUCUUCAGCCCCAUCACUGCUUCGCUGCUGAUCAUCAUCCACUGCUANNNNNNNGCCACCAGUGAAAAAGGAGCUCCAACAUACUCAGUUUUCUCCAAUCUCCUGUCACCGUCAGAUGAGUCCUGCAGAUUUUCAGAACAAUCAUCUUUAGCAGAAGAAUCGAACAUCUGUGCAUUACUAUGAUCUAUAGAUCCCACAUCAUCUGUCCCAGCUUUUGGUGGAGAUACAGUUGUUCCUGCAUCACCAAGUGCAGUACUGUUUGGAAAAGAAUCACCCUCUUUGGCAUCAACAUUGUUUUNNNNNNNGCAGCUUCUGCCAAAACCUCUUUAGCACUGGCAGCAUCAGCACUAGAAGAACAAGCUCCAGGUUCCACCUUACUAGAGGGAGAAGCUACCAUACCUGAGUUGUCAGAGAAAAUUCCAAGCUUCUUUGAUGCAUCCCACUCCGGCUCAUUAUUUUGUCCCUUUGGAAUGGGAAAACUAUGAGUCUCGGUUGAAGCAGUUCCUUCAACAUUACCCCUUGAGGACUUUUCCUUCAAUUGAGGACUCUCUUCAACAGAGUUUGACAUUACAGAUGUACUAUGAGGAUCUGAAGUUCUAUCCUCCAGGUUUCCAUGAGCUUGAAUCUGCACAUCUUUAUCCCUUUCUGAUUGAAGACAAUUUGGACUUCUUGAUUGCAAAUUUCCAUCCCUGUCAGGUUCGGCUGUAUUAUUUUCUACAACAGCAUUUCCUUUUGAAAGAGGAACGUCUACAGCAGCAUAUUCUGCUCUAUUGUUCUCACUGGUGAGCACAUCGGCAUCACGAAAUGCCCCUGCACNNNNNACAUCAUGAUGAAUUGCAUCACUAACCCUAGCAUGCUUCCAGCUAUCAAACAGUGCCCUUGCUCUAUC
rnacentral:misc_RNA from 1 species